UACGUAGGGUGCAAGCGUUAAUCGGAAUUACUGGGCGUAAAGCGUGCGCAGGCGGUGAUGUAAGACAGAUGUGAAAUCCCAGGGCUCAACCUUGGAACUGCAUUUGUGACUGCAUCGCUGGAGUGCGGCAGAGGGGGAUGGAAUUCCGCGUGUAGCAGUGAAACGCGUAGAUAUGCGGAGGAACACCGAUGGCGAAGGCAAUCCCCUGGGCCUGCACUGACGCUCAUGCACGAAAGCGUGGGGAGCAAACAGG
rnacentral:rRNA from 1 species